UCCAGAGCACUCACCUAUCCACUAAACAGCAACUUCAAUGUUGAAAUAUUUUAUUAGUUUUUAAAAAAAAACACCUAAUCUAGGCAAAAAUAAUGGGGGUUUAGUUACAUUAUAUGAUCAUACAUCGCAUAAGCCUGCAUAACCUAGAUUAGGUGUUUUAAAAAAAAUAAAAAAAAUAAAAAUCUUUCAACAUUGAAGUUGCUGUUUAGUGGAUAGGUGAGUGCGCUGGA